GAUGAACGCUGGCGGCGUGCUUAACACAUGCAAGUCGAACGGUGAACACGGAGCUUGCUCUGUGGGAUCAGUGGCGAACGGGUGAGUAACACGUGAGCAACCUGCCCCUGACUCUGGGAUAAGCGCUGGAAACGGCGUCUAAUACUGGAUAUGUGACGUGAUCGCAUGGUCUGCGUCUGGAAAGAAUUUCGGUUGGGGAUGGGCUCGCGGCCUAUCAGCUUGUUGGUGAGGUAAUGGCUCACCAAGGCGUCGACGGGUAGCCGGCCUGAGAGGGUGACCGGCCACACUGGGACUGAGACACGGCCCAGACUCCUACGGGAGGCAGCAGUGGGGAAUAUUGCACAAUGGGCGCAAGCCUGAUGCAGCAACGCCGCGUGAGGGAUGACGGCCUUCGGGUUGUAAACCUCUUUUAGCAGGGAAGAAGCGAAAGUGACGGUACCUGCAGAAGAAGCACCGGCUAACUACGUG
rnacentral:rRNA from 1 species